GUUUUAGAAUUCAGAGCUGAUUUUUUAUUGUCUUUGAAUUUAAAAACUUAGUAACGAUAAGUUAUCUAUAGUAUAUAUUCCAUCUUUAGUUGUUUUUACUAGUUUUCAUUUUUAAGCUCAUAAUCAUUUUGUAUUUUUGUAAGACUCAUGGAUGCUCAUUUACCUUUUAAACAGGAGGGGAAAUCAUAUAUUUGGCUAUUAUUCAAAGGAAAAGCUUAAUGUGGACUUCCCGAUCUCCAUGGGAACCCAAUAAGUCUUCCCAUGAUUCAUUUUCUAGACCUGGAGAAAAAAUUAGUUUCCAUGGAGAUACAAAGACAAGGUCUCUCUCUGUCACCCAGGCUGGAAUGCAGUGGCAUGAUUAUGGCUAACUUCAACCUUGACCUCCUGGGAUCAAAGAAUCCUCCCUCUUUGGCCUCCUACACAGCUGGGAUUACAGGGAGAAGAAAAUGA
rnacentral:lncRNA from 1 species